rnacentral:rRNA from 1 species
AUUGAACGCUUGCGGCAGGCCUAACACAUGCAAGUCGAGCGGAGCGGCGUACGGGUGCGUAAUGCCUAGGAAUCUGCCUGGUAGUGGUGGAUAACGUCCGGUAACGGGCGCUAAUACCGCAUACUCUCAGAUGAGCCUAGGUCUGAUUAGCUAGUUGGUGGGGUACAGGCCUACUACGGCGACGAUCCGUAACUGUGCUGAGAGGAUGAUCAGUCACACUGGAAAUGAGAAACGGUCCAGACACCUACGGGAGGCAGCAGUGGGGAAUAUUGAACAAUGGGCGUAAGCCUGAUGCAGCCAUGCCGCGGUAGGGAAGAAGGUGUGCUGAUUGUAAAGCAAGUUAAGUUGGGAGGCGUUAACAUCAGAAGAAGCACCGGCUAACUACGUUCCAGCAGGCGCGGUAAUAC